rnacentral:rRNA from 1 species
CCUACGGGUGGCAGCAGUAGGGAAUAUUGCACAAUGGGGGGAACCCUGAUGCAGCAACGCCGCGUGGGGGAGGAAGUUCUUCGGAAUGUAAAGUCCUAUCAUCAGAGAAGAAAAUGACGGUACCUAACGAAUAAGCCCCGGCUAACUCCGUGCCAGCAGCCGCGGUAAUACGGAGGGGGCAAGCGUUACUCGGAUUUACUGGGUGUAAAGGGAGCGUAGCCGGGGUGGCAAGUCUGGUGUGAAAGGCGGGGGCUCAACCACGGAACUGCAUUGGAAACUGUCAUUCUGGAGUUCGGGAGGGGUAAGUGGAAUUCUUAGUGUAGCGGUGAAAUCCGUAGAUAUCAGGAGGAACACCCGUUGCGAAGGCGACCUGCUAGACCGUAACUGACGUUGAGGCGCGAAAGCGUGGGGAGCAAACAGGAUUAGAUACCCGGGUAGUC